ensembl:lncRNA
CGGUGGCCGAUGUUGUUCCAGAGACCGAGGCGGUGCCCGAUGCCGAACCGGGGCCUGAUGCUGUUCCGGAGGCCGAGGCGGUGUCCGAGGCGGUGCCCGAGAUGGUUCCGGAGGCCGAGGCGGUUCCGGAGGCCGAGGCGGUGCCCGAUGCUGUUCCGGAGGCCGAGGCAGUGCCCGAUGCGCAGGCCGAGGCGAUGCCCAUGUCCAGGGCCGUUCCCGAGGCGAUGUCCUUGUCCCAUGCCGUUCCUGAGGCCGCUCCCAAGGCGGUGCCCGAGCCCGAGGUCGUGCCCGAGGUCGUUCCCGAGGCGGUGCCCGAACCCGAGGUCGUUCCCGAGGCGAUACCCGUGUCCAAUGCCGUGACCUGGCCAUCACCACAGUCUGCUCCUCACUGGCUCCCCGAAUGGCAGGUUCCGUUCUGGCCACUCAAAUGGCGAGUUCCUCCCUGGCCGUCUGCACAACUAGAAUGGACUGAUCCUCCGUGGCCACCUGAACUGCCUGGUCCCUCGUGGUUCCCUGAACUUUCGGGUCCACCCUGGCCCCCUGAACUGAUUGAUCCACCUUGGCUGCCAGUGGAGCCAUCGCUCCCUCCCCCUGUUCCCCUACAC